GAGUUUGAUCCUGGCUCAGGACGAACGCUGGCGGCGCGCCUAACACAUGCAAGUCGAACGAGCAAAGAGGAGCUUGCUUCUCUGAGCGAGUGGCGAACGGGUGAGUAACGCGUGAGGAACCUGCCUCAAAGAGGGGGACAACAGUUGGAAACGACUGCUAAUACCGCAUAAGCCCACGGGUCGGCAUCGACCAGAGGGAAAAGGAGCAAUCCGCUUUGAGAUGGCCUCGCGUCCGAUUAGCUAGUUGGUGAGGUAAUGGCCCUCCAAGGCGACGAUCGGUAGCCGGACUGAGAGGUUGAACGGCCACAUUGGGACUGAGACACGGCCCAGACUCCUACGGGAGGCAGCAGUGGGGAAUAUUGCACAAUGGGGGAAACCCUGAUGCAGCGACGCCGCGUGGAGGAAGAAGGUCUUCGGAUUGUAAACUCCUGUUGUUGAGGAAGAUAAUGACGGUACUCAACAAGGAAGUGACGGCUAACUACGUGCCAGCAGCCGCGGUAAAACGUAGGUCACAAGCGUUGUCCGGAAUUACUGGGUGUAAAGGGAGCGCAGGCGGGAAGACAAGUUGGAAGUGAAAUCCAUGGGCUCAACCCAUGAACUGCUUUCAAAACUGUUUUUCUUGAGUAGUGCAGAGGUAGGCGGAAAUCCCGGUGUAGCGGUGGAAUGCGUAGAUAUCGGGAGGAACACCAGUGGCGAAGGCGGCCUAUGGGCACCAACUGACGCUGAGGCUCGAAAGUGUGGGUAGCAAACAGGAUUAGAUACCCUGGUAGUCCACACCGUAAACGAUGAUUACUAGGUGUUGGAGGAUUGACCCCUUCAGUGCCGCAGUUAACACAAUAAGUAAUCCACCUGGGGAGUACGACCGCAAGGUUGAAACUCAAAGGAAUUGACGGGGGCCCGCACAAGCAGUGGAGUAUGUGGUUUAAUUCGACGCAACGCGAAGAACCUUACCAAGUCUUGACAUCCUGCGACGGACAUAGAAAUAUGUCUUUCCUUCGGGACGCAGAGACAGGUGGUGCAUGGUUGUCGUCAGCUCGUGUCGUGAGAUGCCGGGUUAAGUCCCGCAACGAGCGCAACCCUUAUGGUCAGUUACUACGCAAGAGGACUCUGGCCAGACUGCCGUUGACAAAACGGAGGAAGGUGGGGAUGACGUCAAAUCAUCAUGCCCUUUAUGACUUGGGCUACACACGUACUACAAUGGCGUUAAACAAAGAGAAGCAAGACCGCGAGGUGGAGCAAAACUCAGAACCAACCUCCCAGUUCGGACUGCAGGCUGCAACUCGCCUGCACGAAGUCGGAAUUGCUAGUAAUCGUGGAUCAGCAUGCCACGGUGAAUACGUUCCCGGGCCUUGUACACACCGCCCGUC
rnacentral:rRNA from 1 species